GAUGAACGCUGGCGGCGUGCUUAACACAUGCAAGUCGAACGGUGAAGCAGGAGCUUGCUCUUGUGGAUCAGUGGCGAACGGGUGAGUAACACGUGAGCAACCUGCCCCUGACUCUGGGAUAAGCGCUGGAAACGGCGUCUAAUACUGGAUAUGUGAUGUGACCGCAUGGUCUGCAUCUGGAAAGAAUUUCGGUUGGGGAUGGGCUCGCGGCCUAUCAGCUUGUUGGUGAGGUAAUGGCUCACCAAGGCGUCGACGGGUAGCCGGCCUGAGAGGGUGGCCGGCCACGCUGGGACUGAGCCACGGCCCAGACUCCUACGGGAGGCAGCAGUGGGGAAUAUUGCACAAUGGGCGGAAGCCUGAUGCAGCAACGCCGCGUGAGGGAUGACGGCCUUCGGGUUGUAAACCUCUUUUAGCAGGGAAGAAGCGAAAGUGACGGUACCUGCAGAAAAAGCACCGGCUAACUACGUGCCAGCCGCCGCGGUAA
rnacentral:rRNA from 1 species